rnacentral:rRNA from 1 species
CGCCUUUUGAGUUACAAGCAUAAAAGGUCCUGCCUGCCCAGUGACACUGUUUCAACGGCCGCGGUAUCAUGACCGUGCAAAGGUAGCGUAAUCACUUGUCUUUUAAAUAAAGACCAGUAUGAACGGCAAAACGAAAGCCAAGCUGUCUCCCCAGAUUAGUCAAUGAAAUUGAUGUUCCCGUGCAGAAGCGGGAAUAAUAAUAUAAGACGAGAAGACCCUGUGGAGCUUCAAACUUAAGCUAACAAGCUAUAAAUGUCUUAGCACCAAGUUUUAGGUUGGGGCGACCACGAGGUAAAACACAACCCUCGAGACAAAAUUAAGAAGGACACUUCAAUAAUAACUAUAUGACAAGUUGACCCAAUAGUUGAUCAACGAACCAAGUUACCCCAGGGAUAACAGCGCAAUCUACUCAAAGAGCCCAUAUCGACGAGCAGGUUUACGACCUCGAUGUUGGAUCAGGACCUCCCAAUAACGUAACAGCUAUUAAAGGUUCGUUUGUUCAUCGAUUAAAGUCCU